rnacentral:rRNA from 1 species
CCUACGGGGGGCAGCAGUGAGGAAUAUUGGUCAAUGGACGCAAGUCUGAACCAGCCAUGCCGCGUGCAGGAAGACGGCCCUAUGAGUUGUAAACUUCUUUUGUACGAGGGUAAACGCAGAUACGCGUAUCUGUCUGCAAGUAUCGUACGAAUAAGGAUCGGCUAACUCCGUGCCAGCAGCCGCGGUAAUACGGAGGAUUCAAGCGUUAUCCGGAUUUAUUGGGUUUAAAGGGUGCGUAGGCGGUCGGAUAAGUUAGAGGUGAAAUCCCGAGGCUCAACUUCGGAAUUGCCUCUGAUACUGUUCGGCUAGAGAGUAGUUGAGGUAGGCGGAAUGUAUGGUGUAGCGGUGAAAUGCUUAGAGAUCAUACAGAACACCGAUUGCGAAGGCAGCUUACCAAGCUACUUCUGACGUUGAGGCACGAAAGCGUGGGGAGCAAACAGGAUUAGAUACCCUUGUAGUC